AGUGAACGCUGGCGGUAGGCCUAACACAUGCAAGUCGAACGGCAGCACAGUAAGAGCUUGCUCUUACGGGUGGCGAGUGGCGGACGGGUGAGGAAUACAUCGGAAUCUACUUUUUCGUGGGGGAUAACGUAGGGAAACUUACGCUAAUACCGCAUACGACCUACGGGUGAAAGCAGGGGAUCUUCGGACCUUGCGCGAUCGAAUGAGCCGAUGUCGGAUUAGCUAGUUGGCGGGGUAAAGGCCCACCAAGGCGACGAUCCGUAGCUGGUCUGAGAGGAUGAUCAGCCACACUGGAACUGAGACACGGUCCAGACUCCUACGGGAGGCAGCAGUGGGGAAUAUUGGACAAUGGGCGCAAGCCUGAUCCAGCCAUACCGCGUGGGUGAAGAAGGCCUUCGGGUUGUAAAGCCCUUUUGUUGGGAAAGAAAAGCAGCAGGUUAAUACCCCGCUGUUCUGACGGUACCCAAAGAAUAAGCACCGGCUAACCUCGUG
rnacentral:rRNA from 1 species